UAUAAUUCAAUGAAUAGUAAAAAAAAUAAAAAAAUAAAUGAUUAGUAAAGUGCAAAGAAAAGAAAGAAACUACAUCUACAAUCAGUGUUGUUAGUGAUAGCCACACUAGCGUGGCUAACCAUCUAAGAACUUCCGUAGCCUUAGAAAAAAUUAUUACUAGCUCCACGCUUUAGUAAAAAAGAACAUUUCAAUAAAAACAAUUUAUGGGGAGGGUGAAAAAACUGUUUUAGGUCCAAAGGAUUAGUA